GCCCUAUCAACUUUCGAUGGUAAGGUAUUGGCUUACCAUGGUUUCAACGGGUAACGGGGAAUUAGGGUUCGAUUCCGGAGAGGGAGCCUGAGAAACGGCUACCACAUCCAAGGAAGGCAGCAGGCGCGCAAAUUACCCAAUCCCGACACGGGGAGGUAGUGACAAUAAAUACUGAUACAGGGCUCUUUUGGGUCUUGUAAUUGGAAUGAGUACAAUUUAAACCUCUUAACGAGGAACAAUUGGAGGGCAAGUCUGGUGCCAGCAGCCGCGGUAAUUCCAGCUCCAAUAGCGUAUAUUAAAGUUGUUGCAGUUAAAAAGCUCGUAGUUGAACCUUUGGCCUGGCUGGCAGGUCCGCCUCACCGCGUGCACUUGUCCGGCCGGGCCUUCUCUUCUGGAGAACCGCAUGCCCUUCACUGGGUGUGUUGGGGACCAGGACUUUUACUUUGAAAAAAUUAGAGUGUUCAAAGCAGGCCUUUGCUCGAAUACGUUAGCAUGGAAUAAUAGAAUAGGACGUGCGGUCCUAUUUUGUUGGUUUCUAGGACCGCCGUAAUGAUUAAUAGGGACAGUCGGGGGCAUCAGUAUUCAAUUGUCAGAGGUGAAAUUCUUGGAUUUAUUGAAGACUAACUACUGCGAAAGCAUUUGCCAAGGAUGUUUUCAUUAAUCAGUGAACGAAAGUUAGGGGAUCGAAGACGAUCAGAUACCGUCGUAGUCUUAACCAUAAACUAUGCCGACUAGGGAUCGGGCGGUGUUU
rnacentral:rRNA from 1 species